rnacentral:antisense_RNA from 1 species
CUUCAGUGAGCCCAUCCACAGUGGGUGCUCCCGGUCCUGCCCGUAGGUGGCGAUGAUUGCCUGGGCUUC